GCAAACUUGGUCAUUUAGAGGAAGUAAAAGUCGUAACAAGGUUUCCGUAGGUGAACCUGCGGAAGGAUCAUUAACGAGUUUUGAAGUGGGUUUGAUGCUGGCCUUCACAGGCAUGUGCUCGCCCUACUCUCAUCCACUCACACCUGUGCACCUAUAAAUGUCAGAAGAUUCAUCCCCUAGACUCUUAGGGGUGUAGUUCGAGGUAACUUGGGCUAUUGGGUUGAGUCUUUUGCGUUUACCUUUACAAAUUCUUGUAUGUCAUAGAAUGUUCAUGGCCUACGGGCUUUCAUAAAUUGAAAUACAACUUUCAACAACGGAUCUCUUGGCUCUCGCAUCGAUGAAGAACGCAGC
rnacentral:misc_RNA from 1 species